rnacentral:rRNA from 1 species
AUUGAACGCUAGCGGGAUGCUUUACACAUGCAAGUCGAACGAGCGGCGGACGGGUGAGUAAUGUAUGGGGACUGCCCGAUAGAGGGGGAAAACUACUGGAAACGGUAGCUAAUACCGCAUACUAUCGGAUAACCCAUAUGGGAUUAGCUAGUAGGUGAGGUAGUGGCUCACCUAGGCGACGAUCCCUAGCUGGGCUGAGAGGAUGAUCAGCCACACUGGAACUGAGACACGGCCCAGAGUCCUACGGAGGCAGCAGUGGGGAAUAGUGCACAAUGGGCGCAAGCCUGAUGCAGCAAUGCCGCGUGUAUGAAGAAGGCCCUAGGGUUGUAAAGUACUUUCAGUCGGGAGGCGUUACCGACAGAAGAAGCACCGGCUAACUCCGUGCCAGCAGCCGCGGUAAUUC